rnacentral:tRNA from 1 species
GCCCAGGUGGCGAAACAGGUAGACGCAAGGGAUUUAAAAUCCCUCGAGUAUAAAACACUCGUGCCGGUUCGAUUCCGGCCCUGGGCACCA